rnacentral:rRNA from 1 species
UGAGCAACCUGCCCUUGAUCCUGGAAUAACAGUUGGAAACAGCUGCUAAUACCGGAUAUGACCUCUGACGACAUCGUCUGGAGGUGGAAAGCUCCGGCGGUCAAGGAUGGGCUCGCGGCCUAUCAGCUUGUUGGUGAGGUAAUAGCUCACCAAGGCGAUGACGGGUAGCCGGCCUGAGAGGGUGACCGGCCACACUGGGACUGAGACACGGCCCAGAUCCGUACGGG